rnacentral:rRNA from 1 species
AGCUCCAAUAGCGUAUAUUAAAGUUGUUGCGGUUAAAAAGCUCGUAGUUGGAUUUCUGUUGAGGACGGUCGGUCCAUCUUAUGGAUGUGCAUCUGAUACGGCCUCGGCAUCCUCUUGGGGAACGUCGUUGUGCUUUAUUGCGUGACACGGUAUUCAAGACUUUUACUUUGAGGAAAUUAGAGUGUUCACGGCAGGCAAUC